rnacentral:rRNA from 1 species
GACGAACCGUGCGAACGUUGUUCGGAAUCACUGGGCUUAAAGGGCGCGUAGGCGGCAUUCAAGUCCGGGGUGAAAGCCCCCAGCUUAACUGGGGAAGUGCCUUGGAAACUGGAGUGCUGGAGGGAGGUAGGGGUCGAGGGAACUUCUGGGUGGAGCGGGUGAAAUGCGUUGAUAUCAGAAGGAACGCCGGUGGCGAAAGCGCUCGACUGGACCUCUUCUGACGCUGAGGCGCGAAGCUAGGGAGCAAACGGG